ACGCCCACCUCCGCGCGCACUGUACGCGCUGUUGUAGUUUCCACUUCGCUGAAAAAUCUGCCUGGCGACUGAGCAUGCCCAGUUCAACUAGUAGCCUUCGGGCCACACAAUCCUGGAGUUUUAUUGUUUUGCCGCUUCUUUGGAUUGUAUCAAUUAGAACGGUAUGCAUCUUUAUAGAAGAAAAAAAAUGUACGGAUGGACGCAUUAACUUGACAAUAUAAAUAUACACCCAGCAGAACUGUUGGAAUUCUACACCUAUCUCAGCAUUUUUCGAACAACAAGGCAAAACUAUUUACAGUAUUAUGAUUAUCACCAAGGAAAUGGAGAGAGAGAGGGAAAGAAGUAGAGAAAGGAAAGAAAAAGGGCCAAGCAUAGAAAACCAGAAUGCUUUUUCACAUGGCAGAGCCUCAUAAGAACCAUUUCCUGACUUCUGACUCCUAGAAGUGUAAGGGUGCACAGCCUAAGAAGACCGACAGAGAAGGCUUGAUCAGCAUAAGCUGCAAUCAUCCUCUCUUUCCCCAAAAAUAUUUUUAUUUAUACCUUUUUUCUUUACUACUUUUUAAUUUUUCCCCAUUUUGAACUUUUUAAAAUUUUAACUUUAAAUUUUAAAAAUAUUUUAUGCUACAUGUUUUCCCCUUAUCUCUUGGUUUUGCUCCCCUCAGCCCCAACAGUGCUAGGCAUCAAGCCCAGGACUUUACACAUAUUGAGAAGGUGCUCUGCCCUGAACUACACUCCAAAUCCCACUAAGAGGAAUUACACCUAGCUCUAGCCAUGACUUGGUCCUGCUCAAACCUUGGCAGAUACUUCAACUUAAAGAAUAUAGGGAACAGAAUCCCCUAGCUAAUGGCCCAUCCCAAAGUGGGCACAAAUGGGGCAAAGGCUCUGCCAUUUCCCUCCUGGGAACCCCCUCCAUAAUAGCAGAAAGAAAUAACAAAACCAUUUUGGACAUUGUGCCUAUGUGAGUCCUCAGUGUUGGUUUUUUUAAAAAACAUCCUGUGGAUGGCACAUCACUGACAAGUGUAAAUCUGAGUGCCACAGAGUUGGAGCUGUGAUCUGAGUCCUUGCAUUUCCACCUGAAAAACCAGAAACUGACCAAUGUCUAAACAGAGGAUAAAAAGCUUCAAGUCCUUCACCAUGAUUAGAAGGGUCAAUAUGAGAACUGCUUUCAAGUGACUAUGGAAACCUCUACCACCUGAUAGAGGCAUAUAUUCCCACUGUAGGAGUAACCACAGAGAGUGCCACUCCACCCUUCUGUCUAUGCCACAUUUAGUUAAAUUAUCAAAGGGAUCCCACUCUUGCAAUGCCUUCAAAAAAAGGUGGGCUUCUCAGGCUCCAAUACACUGCACAUUGUGUCAAAACUCACUAAUUACAGCUGAAGACGCGCCACAGGGAGACCAUGUUACAAAGUCCAUUUGGAAUUAAACCCAGCAUUACACAAUAAACUGAUAUCCAAGAUACAUCAUCAAAAGAAGGCCAGUUAAGAAGUUUCUCAUAUAGAAAUGGAGGAGCUAUCCAUCCCAAGAGAUGUACAAACACAACAUACAAACAAAAAAUGAUAAAACAAGGCAAUAAGAACCUUCUAAAGUUCAUAGUUGUAUAGUAACAGAUUCUAAAGAUAUCAAAUUAGAUAAAAUACUGGACAAAAAUUCAAAAGAAUGAUUUUCUAAAGCUCAGUGGAUUCCAAGAGAAUACAAAUAAUAAACAACUGAAUGAAUUCAAACAGACAAUGCAAGAUAUGAAUGAGAAUUUCCGUAAAUGGAGUUUUUGAAAAAGAACCAAAUAGAAAUAUUGGAAAUGAAAAGUUCAUAUAAGUCAGAUAAAAAUUCAUUUGAAAGUCUUAUGAACAGACUGGAUCAAGCAGAAGAAAGACUAUCAGAGAUAUUAAGACAAGCCUGAUAUUACAUUAAGAUAGAAAUAAGGGGAAAAAAAAGAAUGAACAAAACAAAAAAUCUCCGGGACACCAUUAAAAGACCAAGCAUCCACACAACAGGUAUACCCACGGGAGAAGAGCUACAGGCUAAAGGCAUAGAAAAACCUAUUCAAUGAAAUAAAAGCAGAAAAUUUCCCAACUCUUGGGAAAGACACAGACAUCUAGGUACAGAAGGCACUUGGAAUUGCAUUUAUACAUGACCAGAAAGAAUCUCUCACAAUACAGUUACUAUGCCAAAAGUUCACUAUGAAGAAAAAAAAUAAAAAUCUUCAAGAGAAAAGUACCAAGGCACAUUUAAAGACAAACCCAUUAAACAAACACAAAUUUCUUAGUAGAAAUUCUGUAGGCCAGGAGAGUAUGGGAUGAGGUAUUAUGAAUUCUGAAAGAAAACAAGUGCCAAUCAAGAGGUUAUAGUCAGCAAGAUUAUCUAUCUUUCAGAAUCAAAGGAUUAAUAAGGACCUUCCAAGAUAAGCCUAAACUAAGGGAAUUUAUGACAUGACCAGCAUUAGAUAACAGCAAAUCCUACACUCAGAAAAGGAAGAAAGAUAAAUAUAAUCAGAGUAUUGGAAAGGAUAAAUAUAACCAGAACACCAGACAUGCAAAUGAAACAGGAAAGAUUAAAACUUAUUAAUAUAGUACACUAUCAAACUUCUAAAGAGAAAAAAAAAUGAACAUACAAUAUUUAAAACAACCACAAGAAAAACAAUGAAAUGACAACAAGUACAUACCUUUCAAUAAUAACCCUGAAUAUAAAAGGCCCUAAUUCUCUAAUUAAAAGAUGCAGAUUUGUUGAGUAGAUUAAAAAACAAGACCAAACAAUAAAUUCACCUCUUCUGCAAAAACAUACACCGACUGAAAGUGAAAGGCUAGAAAAUAAAAUCCGAAGCAAAUGAAAUCCAAAAGCAAGCAGGAGUAGCUAUUUUUAUAUCUAAUAAGAUACACUUUAGGAGAAAAUUAAGCGAGACAAAGAAAGUCGUUACAUGUUAAUCAAUGGAAUAAUUCAUCAAGAAGAUAUAAUGAUUAUAAAUACACAUGCACCAAACAUUAGAGCACCUAAUUUCAUAUAACAAACACUACAUAAAUGAACAAAUUGUUCCCAAUACAAUAGUGGUUAACUUCAAUACCCUAGUCUUAUUAACAGAUCAUCCAGACAAAAAAAAAAUCAAAGAAACAUCAGAGAUAAAUUAUACUAUAAGUAAACUGGACUUAAAAGACAUCUACAGAACAUUCCAUCCAACAGCUACCAAAUAUACAUUCUUUUCAUUAGUACGUUUAACACUGCCCCCAAAAGAACAUAUAUUAGCUCACAAAGCAAGUCUUAACAAAUUCAAAAACUUGAAACAAAUAAUUUCUGCAUCUUAUCUGAUUACAAUGGAAUUAAACUAGAAAUCAACACCAAGAGAAACUGUAGAAAUGAUACAAUACAUAGAGACUAAACACACUAUUAAAUGAACAUUGAGUCGUUUAAGAAAUCAGAAGGGAAAUUUAAAUACCUCUUAAAUCAAAAUGGAAACCCAACAUAUCAAAACAUGUGGAAUACAGAGAAAGGAGUAUCAAGAAGAAAGUUCAUAGUGAUGAAUGCUUUAGUGGAAAAAAAAAAAAAGAGACCUCAGAUAAAUAACCUAGUAAAGAAUUUCAAGGUUUUAAGAAUAUACUAAAUCCAAAAUCAGUAGAAGGGAAGAAAUAAUAAAGAUCAGAGAAAGAAUAAAUAAAAUAGAGGCCAAAAGAGCAAUACAAAGGAUCAAUGAAAUAGAGUUGGUUCUUUCAAAAGACAAACAAAAUUUACAAACCUUUGGCAAAACUAACCAAAAGAAAAAAGGAUAUCCAAAUAAAUAAAAUCAGAGGUUAAAAAAAGAAAAUAGUAUUACAGACACCACUGAAACUCAAAAGAUCAUUAGGGAAUAUUGAAAAAAAUAAACAAAAAAAAAAAAACCCUCUAUGCUAAAAAAAC